rnacentral:rRNA from 1 species
GACAGAGGGUGCAAACGUUGUUCGGAAUUACUGGGCGUAAAGCGCGUGUAGGCGGCCAUCUAAGUCGGGCGUGAAAUCCCACGGCUCAACCGUGGAAGUGCACUCGAAAACUGGGAUGGCUAGAGUCCUGGAGAGGAAGGUGGAAUGCUUGGGUGUAGAGGUGAAAUUCGUAGAUAUCAAGCGGAACACCGGUGGCGAAGGCGGCCUUC